GGAGGAAAGCACGUGCUUCCCCUGCAGUCUGCCAGCAUGACCUUUUUGCAGGUAAAUGCACUGGAGAGGAACAAUGAGGUCAAAUAAGUGCUAGAAGCAAAAGUGUCUCAGUUGUGAUUCUGCCACUGCUUGGAUUUUCCCCGUGAAACUCAUUCUUUCAAGAGAAAACAUACUUUUGUAUAAAACUCCAAGAGCCUAUCCUGAUCUAGAAUUAUUCAGAGACACCGGCAUAUUUUCAAGGUACAACAAAUUGUAAUACAGGAAAAAGUAAAUAAAUGGAGAAUGGUGCAUUUACGGAGAAGAACCAAAUUAAUGAUUUAAGAUAAGGAAGUUUAAGUUGCGAGGCAUGGUAACAUCAGAAGUCAGUUCCGACAGAAACAUCAGAAAAGCUGGCAGAUUUUCUGAGGUAUAAGAAACCUGCUUUUAGUGACCACAUCAUAGUCACGUAGCCCAUGGAAAAUAAUAGCAAUAUUUGCAUCAACCUUUAGUUGCUAGAACCAGCCUGCAAUCUAUAUUCUGAAUGUGAUUUUUCCAUGGUCGUGUACUUCAUAUUUUAGAACUUCUAAGAGUUUAUGCUGGGGAGCACAAAAUAGCGUAAACCAAAGCAAAUGUUUAUGUAUCAAAUCAUGUAUGUUAUGUACCUAAUGGAAAAGAGACUUUCUGAAUUAAAUUCUUAUGUUUGAUGUUUGUUCAGCAAAAUGUUUUUUUCUGAAGCAUAUGAAAGCACCUGAAGUGUUUUCUUUGAGCCAUGAAAAUCCUUUAGGUGGAGCACAGGUUGACAAAAUGUAUUAAUCUCUAGAUUUCUAAUUAUGGCCAUUUUUGGUUUUACUCUAUAAUGGUUUCCAUUAUUCACAUUAAAUGUAUUAAAUCAUCAUAAUAAAACCAAGUUUAAU
ensembl:lncRNA